rnacentral:tRNA from 2 species
CGGGGUGUAGCACAGAUGGCUAGUGCGCCUGGUUUGGGACCAGGAGGUCGCUGGUUCAAGUCCAGUCACCCCGA